GCCAGGGUGGCAUAGUGGUUUAAGGAUUGGACUACAACUCUGGAGACCAGGGUUCGAGUCCCCACUUGGCCA